UACGUAGGGUGCGAGCGUUGUCCGGAAUUAUUGGGCGUAAAGAGCUCGUAGGCGGUUUGUCGCGUCUGCUGUGAAAACCUGAGGCUCAACCUCGGGCCUGCAGUGGGUACGGGCAGACUAGAGUGCGGUAGGGGAGAAUGGAAUUCCUGGUGUAGCGGUGGAAUGCGCAGAUAUCAGGAGGAACACCGAUGGCGAAGGCAGUUCUCUGGGCCGUAACUGGACGCUGAGGAGCGAAAGCGUGGGGAGCGAACAGG
rnacentral:rRNA from 1 species